rfam:Picea glauca, whole genome shotgun sequence.
GGGUCUAUAGCUAAGUGGUAAAGGAUUUGACUGCAGAUCAAGAGGUCAUCGGUUGAAGUCCGAUUGGGUCCU